rnacentral:rRNA from 1 species
UACACUCCUGCGGGAGGCAGCAGUGGGGAAUAUUGGACAAUGGGCGCAAGCCUGAUCCAGCCAUGCCGCGUGAGUGAUGAAGGCCCUAGGGUUGUAAAGCUCUUUCACCGGUGAAGAUAAUGACGGUAACCGGAGAAGAAGCCCCGGCUAACUUCGUGCCAGCAGCCGCGGUAAUACGAAGGGGGCUAGCGUUGUUCGGAUUUACUGGGCGUAAAGCGCACGUAGGCGGACUAUUAAGUCAGGGGUGAAAUCCCGGGGCUCAACCCCGGAACUGCCUUUGAUACUGGUAGUCUUGAGUUCGAGAGAGGUGAGUGGAAUUCCGAGUGUAGAGGUGAAAUUCGUAGAUAUUCGGAGGAACACCAGUGGCGAAGGCGGCUCACUGGCUCGAUACUGACGCUGAGGUGCGAAAGCGUGGGGAGCAAACAGGAUUAGAUACCCCGGUAGUCCC